rnacentral:rRNA from 1 species
GACGAACGCUGGCGGCGUGCUUAACACAUGCAAGUCGAGCGGUAAGGCCCUUUCGGGGGUACACGAGCGGCGAACGGGUGAGUAACACGUGGGUGACCUGCCCUCAGCUCUGGGAUAAGCCUGGGAAACCGGGUCUAAUACCGGAUAUGACUCCAUGACGCAUGUUGUGGGGUGGAAAGCCUUGUGCGGCUGAGGAUGGGCCCGCGGCCUAUCAGCUUGUUGGUGGGG